GAGGGAUCUCCAAGCCGUGUGAAAAAUGCCACUGAUCAUCAUGCUCAAGCUUCUUUUUUUUUUUCUUUCUGUCAUGGCUGUCGCCGGCGAGAAAGGAGAGCCCAGCAGUCUCCAUCAUCAGCCUCAGACCCCGGGGACAGAAGAAAUCACAUUAUAUCUGCUGUCACACAAAGUCACUGUCAAGGUGUGGCGGAGAGAGCACACAGCAGCUCUGGUGUGAUGCUGGGGACCCAGAAAUACCUCAGACGCCUCAUCUCAGCCCCCGGCUAGAACCAUGCUGCAUAUCUAACAAGGAGCGGACAGAGUAUCUAUCAUCCUCCGGGGGGGAUGGUGGCGAUGGUGUGAGGGGGGUGGGGUGCGAGCCCCCACGCUUUGCUCUGCAGCAGAACGCUCGUUCCUCUGGAAGGACGCCAGUCGACUGGGGAUCAAACCUUGGCCCUCGGCCCGGCAGCAGGCUUCCACAGCUCCCUCCCUUCACCACCAGAUCUGGGCCACUUCCAUGUGGGCCAGCAGCAGGCAGCUUCUUUUUUUUCCUUUUUUUUUUCCGCUGGUAUCUAAUCUGGUGUUUGUUCUUGCGAGUGUGCCGUCGAUGAGCUAGAGAAAGGAUGUUGGGGAGGAAACCGAGGGGGUUGAAACAUGCCGGUAUCAGAGAUACCAGCGGAGCCUCUGUGGCCUUAAGGUGAUGUUUGCCCAUCAGAUUUCUGGGGAUUGAAUCGGUAGGAUAAAACAUACAGGCCACCAAGCACAGCGGGGUUCUUUCAGCCAGUUGGGGUUUUCUAUAACACCGAUCAAACAGGUUAGAAAUGUGUAGUAGCUAUCCCCGUCUCUCCACUGUACACAAGCUGAGAUAAAGUGUGGGGUGAGUUUAGGCCGGCUGACAAGAGACUGGAAAACCCUCCUUUUCAAACGACGUGCAAUUUCUUUGGCUGGGAAAAAGCAGAAACACGGCCGACAAGCAAAAUGUGUCUAAAGGAGAAUCUCACCAUCUCGAUAUCUCAGCCAAGUCACAGGAGGUAAUAGAGGUAAGAGUGAGUUCAUAAUCAUAACAGACUCAAUAUUUCAUCGCUUUGCAGAUACAUUUCUGCCUCGCUCGGCCAAUUGUGCUGACUCGAAAUUCGAGCUUUACGACUUUUAAUGGUAACAUUCAGAAGCAAGAUACUUUUAGUCAAAACACUGGUGGCCUCUUGGGGCCGGUGAUGCUUUACCUCAAGGUUUUCAGAUUGUACAGCCUGCCUGGAUUCAGACACACUGAAAAAAUAAUGUAAUAACACAUAAAUAAUGCAGCAUAAAAAGCUUUGUGGGAUGUGUUUACUGUCUAAACUUAUUAUGUUCACAUCAAUCAGCGAAAUUACCAGAUACUGUUCAUCAUGUAAAACCAUCCAGGAAGCAAAUUCAGCUUGCUUUACUUAGCG
rnacentral:lncRNA from 1 species